UUUAAAAUAAUUGUGUUUGCUCGCAAAUGAAAAAAAACCGACUUCAAUUACAUCGACGAGUAAUACAACGUAGAUCGACGAAAAAAUAGUCAAGUAACUACGCGUUAUCAAAGAUUACUCAAAAAGUAGUUAUCAGAUCUCAAUAAAAUGUAUAUGUGACCACAUGACAAACAUCAGCUUUCGAUUAAAUUAAAAAUUAUUAAAAUCGGUACACCCAGUAAAAAGUUAUUGCGGAUUUUCAAGAGUUUCCCUCGAUUUCUCUGGGAUCCUAUUAUCAGAUCCUGGUUUCCUUAUCAUGGUACUAAACUAGGGAUAUCUCCUUUCCAACAAAAAAAGAAUUAUCAAAAUCAGUACAUCCAGUAGAAAGUUAUGUGGUAUAAUACAAAGUAGGUCGACGAAAAAAGCGUCAAGUAAAAACGCAUUAUUAGAUAUAACUCGAAAAGUAGUUGUUAGAUCUCAAAUAAAUUUAAAUGGGACCAAUUGGCACACACCACCUUUUGAUUAAAACAAAAUUUGUCGAAGUCGGUCUACCCGGUCAAAAGUUCUGAUGUAACAUACAUAAAA
rnacentral:misc_RNA from 1 species